CCUACGGGAGGCAGCAGUAGGGAAUAUUGGGCAAUGGAGGCAACUCUGACCCAGCCAUGCCGCGUGCAGGACGAAGGCGUCAGCGUUGUAAACUGCUUUUGCCCAUGAAGCGGUAAUGGGUGAAUAAGCACCGGCUAACUCCGUGCCAGCAGCCGCGGUAAUACGGAGGGUGCAAGCGUUGUCCGGAUUUAUUGGGUUUAAAGGGUGCGUAGGCGGGCUGUUAAGUCUGGUUUGAAAGCUGGUGGCUUAACCAUCAGAUGUGGCUGGAUACUGGGAGUCUUGAAAUUGUUGGAGGCAGCCGGAACGGGUCGUGUAGCGGUGAAAUGCAUAGAGAUGACCCAGAACACCAAUUGCGUAGGCAGGCUGCUACGACUAUUGACGCUGAGGCACGAGAGCAUGGGGAGCAAACAGGAUUAGAUACCCUUGUAGUC
rnacentral:rRNA from 1 species